rnacentral:precursor_RNA from 14 species
GCAGCACAUUUUACACGAGCCCUUCGUAAUCUACCCUGUAGAACCGGGCUUUUGUAGACUAGCGACCCUUUCAGAAGCUCGUUUCUACAGGUAUCUUGCGAAAUCAGCUGCCUGCGGCUAGAAACA